GAUGAACGCUGGCGGCGUGCCUAAUACAUGCAAGUCGAGCGAACGGACGAGAAGCUUGCUUCUCUGAUGUUAGCGGCGGACGGGUGAGUAACACGUGGGUAACCUACCUAUAAGACUGGGAUAACUUCGGGAAACCGUAGCUAAUACCGGAUAAUAUUUUUAACCGCAUGGUUCAAGAGUGAAAGACGGUCUUGCUGUCACUUAUAGAUGGAUCCGCGCUGCAUUAGCUAGUUGGUAAGGUAACGGCUUACCAAGGCAACGAUGCAUAGCCGACCUGAGAGGGUGAUCGGCCACACUGGAACUGAGACACGGUCCAGACUCCUACGGGAGGAAGCAGUAGGGAAUCUUCCGAAAUGGGCGAAAGCCUGCCGGAGCAACGCCGCGUGAGUGAUGAAGGUCUUCGGAUCGUAAAACUCUGUUAUUAGGGAAGAAGAUAUGUGUAAGUAACUGUGCACAUCUUGACGGUACCUAAUCAGAAAGCCACGGCUAACUACGUG
rnacentral:rRNA from 1 species